rnacentral:tRNA from 2 species
GGGGAUAUAGCACAGUUGGUAGCGCGAUACGUUCGCAACGUAUAGGUCACGAGUUCGAGUCUCGUUAUCUCCACCA